rnacentral:rRNA from 1 species
CCUGGCUCAUGACUAACGCUGGCGGCGCGCCUAACACAUGCAAGUCGAACGAGCGAGAGAGAGCUUGCUUUCUCGAGCGAGUGACGAACGGGUGAGUAACGCGUGAGGAACCUGCCUCAGAGAGGGGGACAACAGUUGGAAACGACUGCUAAUACCGCAUAAGCCCACGGGUCGGCAUCGACCAGAGGGAAAAGGAGUAAUCCGCUUUGAGAUGGCCUCGCGUCCGAUUAGCUAGUUGGUGAGGUAACGGCCCACCAAGGCAACGAUCGGUAGCCGGACUGAGAGGUUGAACGGCCACAUUGGGACUGAGACACGGCCCAGACUCCUACGGGAGGCAGCAGUGGGGAAUAUUGCACAAUGGGGGAAACCCUGAUGCAGCGACGCCGCGUGGAGGAAGAAGGUCUUCGGAUUGUAAACUCCUGUUGUUGAGGAAGAUAAUGACGGUACUCAACAAGGAAGUGACGGCUAACUACGUGCCAGCAGCCGCGGUAAAACGUAUGUCACAAGCGUUGUCCGGAAUUACUGGGUGUAAAGGUAGCGCAGGCGGGAAGACAAGUUGGAAGUGAAAUCCAUGGGCUCAACCCAUGAACUGCUUUCAAACUGUGUUUCUUGAGUAGUGCAGAGGUAGGCGGAAUUCCCGGUGUAGCGGUGGAAUGCGUAGAUAUCGGGAGGAACACCAGUGGCGAAGGCGGCCUACUGGGCACCAACUGACGCUGAGGCUCGAAAGUGUGGGUAGCAAACAGGAUUAGAUACCCUGGUAGUCCACACCGUAAACGAUGAUUACUAGGUGUUGGAGGAUUGACCCCUUCAGUGCCGCAGUUAACACAAUAAGUAAUCCACCUGGGGAGUACGACCGCAAGGUUGAAACUCAAAGGAAUUGACGGGGGCCCGCACAAGCAGUGGAGUAUGUGGUUUAAUUCGACGCAACGCGAAGAACCUUACCAAGUCUUGACAUCCUGCGACAGGCGUAGAAAUACGUUUUUCCUUCGGGACGCAGAGACAGGUAGUGCAUGGUUGUCGUCAGCUCGUGUCGUGAGAUGUUGGGUUAAGUCCCGCAACGAGCGCAACCCUUAUGGUCAGUUACUACGCAAGAGGACUCUGGCCAGACUGCCGUUGACAAAACGGAGGAAGGUGGGGAUGACGUCAAAUCAUCAUGCCCUUUAUGACUUGGGCUACACACGUACUACAAUGGCGUUAAACAAAGAGAAGCAAGACCGCGAGGUGGAGCAAAACUCAGAAACAACGUCCCAGUUCGGACUGCAGGCUGCAACUCGCCUGCACGAAGUCGGAAUUGCUAGUAAUCGUGGAUCAGCAUGCCACGGUGAAUACGUUCCCGGGCCUUGUACACAC